rnacentral:tRNA from 1 species
GCCGAAUUAGCUUAGUGGUAGAGCAAUUGUUUUGUAAUCAAAAGAUAUGGGUUCGAUUCCUGUAUUCGGCACCA